CCAGACGCAGAGAUGACUUUGAUUCUUCAACCACAUGGAGUGAAGCCUUCACAGUGUCAGUGUUACCUCAACCAAAAGCUCAACUGGGAACCAAUAAAUUCAACAUGUCUGAAGGCAGCAGAGUGACGCUGACCUGCUCAGUGAAUCAACCAGCUGGAUGGAAAUACUUCUGGUACAGAGACUCCAAAACCUCCCUCCUGACAAAAUAUGACACUAGUAUGUAUUGGAAUCAGUCUGAAGUCUCACAGGAGGGACGUUACUGGUGCAGAGGAGGAAGAGGAGGAAGAGGAAGAAGAGGAGAUCCACUUUACUACACAGAGUACAGUGAUCCCAUCAGUGUCACUAAAAUAAUCCCAAACAAGGCAACCCUGACUCUGCAACACGACAGACCACAGCUCUACCAAGGAGAGACCAUCGCUCUCAGAUGUGCCAUCGAUGGAGGAAACACAGGAUGGGAGUAUGAGUGGGAAACCAGCAGUUUACUCAAACCAGCAAAUGUCAGCCAAUACAGGAUGGAGGCUCUUUCUUCACAGCACCAGGGAGAAUACAGAUGUAAAGGAAACAAGCUGAGAGGAGCACAGUCAACAGAUUGGAGCAACACCGUCACACUG